AUAACAAGAAUGUUACAAGGUUGUUCUAACAAGUCUGAUACAGUCAUGAUAUAACAAGAAUGUCACAAGGUUGACGACACAAAGUUGUAACAAUAUUGUUAUAUCAUGACUGUAUCGGACUUGUUGGAACAACCUUGCAACAAGUCUGAUAA